rnacentral:lncRNA from 1 species
UUGGGCAUGAUAACAUUGUAUUUCACAGUUCUGUUUAACAUGUUAAAACCAGAAAUCAAAGAAGAUGCAGAUGUCAUUUUCCAGGUUAAAUACUGAAUUCAUUCAUACAUGUGUAUAUUCUGUCACUGCCUUUGUUUUGAUAUCUACUAUCCAAAUUUUAAUUUAAUUAAUUGCUUCUUUGCGGUACUAGGGAUGGAACCCAGGGCCUCGCCUGUAUCAGACAAGUGCUCUGUCACUGAGCUACACCUCUAGCCCUGGAAUUCUGCUGUCUCCGAUUUCUUUCUCUGACUUUAUUGGGUGGUCGAGGGCGGAGGGUGGUCCCCAGUCCUCUUGUUCACAUGCACAUUACCACAGGCUUUCCUCCUUUUCCUAGGAAAGUAUGUGAUGGUGAUGGGAGUGGUGCAGGCCUGUAGCCCCGAGCCGUGCCUUCAAGCUGUGAAGAUGACAGAUCUUUCCGAUAAUCCCCUCCACGAAAGCAUGUGGGAACUGGAAGUGGAGGAUUUACACAGGAACAUUCCUUAGGUGACACUGGAACUGGCAUUACAAACAACCUUUCCCCCCGUAAUGAUCUCAGUUCUGACUGUGUGGAUUCAUGGACAUCACUCAUGUAUAUUUUAUCGACAUUGUGUAUUUCUCAAAAGAGCCACAGAGAGAACUGCUUUGGUUGACGCAGGCGUCUGGAUGCAGGGAUUUUUAAGGGUUAGGAGGCUGCAGUUAACUCGGCCUCCACUGUCCCUUGCUUUGACUGUGUUUGCUGAUGAAAAGCAGAUGCUGGGAUUAUAAACGUACACUACCAUGCCGGGCACAUUCAGCUGUCUUUGUGAAGCCAGAUCCCACCCAGAUAUUGAGGAACCAUUUUGUUAGCUAGCUUCCUUCACAGGGCGUGGGGGCAGUUUUAGAUGUUGUCAGAAUUUCUCUUUGAAAUUAAAAAACCGAGAAUGAGAACAACUUUCAUUACUUUACCUAAACUUCUGUUUCAUAGCUGUCAAGACACAGCAAGGAAGCAAUCUCCUGGUUUAGAGUUCUUACAUCUUUUUGUACGGAAUGAAUUGUGUUAUGAUUGUAUUGAAUGUUGGAUUUCUGUUCCUACUUCUUUAUUACACAUGCUGGAUUUAUCUUUAGAGUAUAAAUACCAAGGAAGUCAUACUGUAUUCCAACAUUGCAGUAGAGUUUUGCCUGAAUUAUUGAUACUGUACCACUAAUAAAUUUUUAUGUGCUGUGUUUUUUAAAAAUAAACUUUAUUUUUAAAAGCAGUUUUGGGUUUGCAGAAAAAAAUCAAGCAGAAAGUAUAUAUAUGUUUCCAUAUGCCCCACACUCUCCUCCCCAGCUUCUAUUAUUAACAUCUGUUAGUGUGACACAUUUAUUACUAUUGAUGGGCAUUUGAUUACAUUGUUACAUUGAUAUAUUCUUAUCAGCCAGCUUUUACACUAGGAUUCUUGCUGUGUGCUACAUUCUGUGGGUUUUACAAAUGCAUAAUGACAUGGAUCAAUCUCAUAAAGAUCUUCCAUGUUCCCUCCUUUCAUCAACCUCCCAACCACUGAUCUAUUUCCUGUUUUGCCUUUUGCAGAGUAUCAUAUAGUUGGUUCAUACAGUAUGUAGAUUUUAUAGCCUGGCUGCUUUCACUUAAAGUGCAUUCAAAGUUUCUCCAUGUCUUUUUGCAGCAUUUCUUUUUGUCACCAAAGGUGAUGCUCCAUUAUAUGCACGUAGUUUGUUCAUCCAGUCUACCUGUUGAAGGACAUCUUGUUUGAUCCCAGUCUUUGAGAAUCAUGAAGGGAGCUGUGGUGCAGUUUUGUGUGGACAGAAAGUUUUCUCCUCAUCGAGGGUUCCAUCCAGGACAUGCGUUCUGUUCAGUUGUCCUGUCUUCCCGGGCUCUCUUGAUUGCACUGAAAUGUAU